CCUACGGGGGGCAGCAGUGAGGAAUAUUGGUCAAUGGCCGGAAGGCUGAACCAGCCAAGCCGCGUGAAGGACGAAGGUGCCAAGCAUUGUAAACUUCUUUUGUCAAGGGACAAAAUCAGGCUCGAGAGCCUGACCGAGGGUACUUGAAGAAAAAGCAUCGGCUAACUCCGUGCCAGCAGCCGCGGUAAUACGGAGGAUGCGAGCGUUAUCCGGAUUUAUUGGGUUUAAAGGGUGCGCAGGCGGAAGAUCAAGUCAGCGGUAAAAUUGAGAGGCUCAACCUCUUCGAGCCGUUGAAACUGGUUUUCUUGAGUGAGUGAGAAGUAUGCGGAAUGCGUGGUGUAGCGGUGAAAUGCAUAGAUAUCAUGAAGAACUCCGAUCGCGAAGGCAAGUGUCCGGGGUGCAACUGACGCUGAGGCUCGAAAGUGCGGGUAUCAAACAGGAUUAGAUACCCGAGUAGUC
rnacentral:rRNA from 1 species